GACGAACGCUGGCGGCGUGCUUAACACAUGCAAGUCGAACGGAAAGGCCUGCCUUCCCUCGUGCAUUGCGGGAACUCGAGUGUCGAACGUCUGAGUAACACGUGAGUGAUCUGCCCCCAACUUGGGUAUAAGCCUGGUACACUGUGCCUAAUUCCCGUUAGGACUGCAGGGUUGUGCCUGUGCUGGAAAACGAUUUUCUAGUUGUUGGUGAUGAGCUCGCGGCGUAUCAGCUUGUUGUUGGGGCAAUCUCCUACCAAGGUGUCGACGUGUAGCCAGACUGAGAGGGUCGACGGCCAGAUUGAGACUGGGAUACGACCCAGACGCCAACGGGAAGCAGCAGUGGGGAGUAUUGGACAAUGAGCGUGAGCCAGAAGCGGCGAGGGCACGUGGAAGAUGACGGGGUUCGAAUUGUAAACUCCUUGGGACGACGAGGAAGCCACCUGGUUGGAAGGGUAGUGACGGUAGUGUAAGAAGAAGCACCGGCUAACUACGUG
rnacentral:rRNA from 1 species